rnacentral:tRNA from 1 species
GGUUAAUUAGUUUAGUUAAAAUGUUGGUUUUGUAAAUCAGAGAUAAUAGUUUUAUUAUUAACCU